ACGUUUCUCUGAGCGGGAACUUUACUACCUGUCACCUGCCAUGUUUGUUAUUGCCUGAGAAACUGACGUUGGCCUGAAAAUGAACUUUGAGUUCAGCACUGCCCUCUUGUGGAUAUAUUGCUGACAACCAUGCUUGACGCUUCCCAUCUGGCCCCACCAGGAACUUCUCAAAGUUCCACUUGAUGUCGCUGAUCUUCAGAGGCUGCCAAAAGAGUCUGCUGGUGUCUCCGAAGCUUUCUCCAACUGGUGGGCACGAGCUCU